rnacentral:rRNA from 1 species
ACUCAGGCGAGCAGCGUGAUACAGUUCAGCUACUGAGCGAUGAGACGUCGUGUCGUCAAUCUAUGUCAUCGCGAUCAGUCGUGAGUGAGUUAGCACGUUGAAUAAGCACUGAGAAUAUACGUGUCGUCGCUCGCGGUAAUACGUUGGUGGCUAGCGUUAUCCGCAAUUAUCGGGCGUAAAGGGCUCGUAGACGUUUCGUCGAUGCCGGUCCAUAAGUACAUAGGUUAACGGUGUAUCCGCGCUGUGUACGGGCGGGUUGUAGUACGGUAGCAGAGCCUGGAAUUCUCGCGAUAUCGUGGAUACGUGUAGAUAUCGGGAUGAACACCAAUGACGAUGACAGGUUUCUGGGCCUUUACGGACAGUAAGGAGCGAAAGUCUGGGGAGCGAACAGCAUGAGAUACCUGGGUAGUGCUUGCAGUCAACGGUUGAUGCUGGAUGUGGAACCCGUUUCACGGCUUCCGUGUCGGAAAUUCCGCGAUAAGCAUCCUGCGUGGGGAGUACGGCCGCAAGGCUAAAACUCAAAGAAAUUGAUGGGGGCCCGCACAAGCGGCGUAGCUUGCGGAUUAAUUCGAUGCAACGCGAAGAACCUUACCUGGGCUGGACAUGUUCCCGACCGCUCCAGAGAUGGGGCUUCCGUUCGGGGCGGGUUCACAGGUGGCGCAUCGUAGUCGUCAGCUCGUGUCGUGAGAUGUUGGGUUAAGUCCCGCAUCGAGCGCAACCCUCUCCCCGUGUUGCCAGCGGAUUAUUCUGGGAACUCUCGGGGGACCGCCGGGGUUAACUCGGAGGAAGGUGGGGAAGACGUCAGAUCAUCAUGCCCCGUACGUCCAGGGCUUCACGCAUGGUACAAUGGCCGGUACAACGGGAUGCGAUUUGAGGGGCGGAGCUGCUCCACGAAAACCG